GGAUCCUUUGGACACGUCUGAAGGUGAGAGUGGCGAACGGGUGAGUAACACGUUGGUGACCUGCCCCGGAGAGGGGGACAACCACUGGAAACGGUGGCUAAUACCCCAGAUGUCAUUGAUUUUGGAAUUCAAUGACUAAAGCCCCGGCGCUCCGGGAGGGGCCUGCGGCCCAUCAGCUAGUUGGUAGGGUAAUGGCCUACCAAGGCAAAGACGGGUAGGGGGCGUGAGAGCGUGACCCCCCACACUGGUACUGAGACACGGACCAGAUACCUGCGGGUAGCAGCAGCAAGGAAUAUUGCCCAAUGGACGAAAGUCUGAGGCAGCAACGCCGCGUGGAGGACGAAGGCCUUCGGGUCGUAAACUCCUUUUCUGGGGGAUGAGAAAGGACAGUACCCCAGGAAUAAGUCUCGGCUAACUACGUGCCAGCAGCCGCGGUAAAACGUAGGAGGCGAGCGUUAUCCGGAUUUACUGGGCGUAAAGCGCAUGCAGGCGGUUUUCUAAGUCGGACGUGAAAGCUCUCGGCUCAACUGGGAGAGGCCGUUCGAAACUAGGAGACUUGAGGGUGGUAGAGGAGAGUGGAAUUCCCGGUGUAGUGGUGAAAUGCGUAGAUAUCGGGAGGAACACCAGUGGCGAAGGCGGCUCUCUGGGCCAACCCUGACGCUAAGAUGCGAAAGCUAGGGGAGAGAACGGGAUUAGAAACCCCGGUAUUCCUAGCCGUAAACGAUGUCAACUAGGCGUAGGGGGUUAUUGACCCCUCCUGUGCUGUAGCUAACGCACUAAGUUGACCGCCUGGGGACUACG
rnacentral:rRNA from 1 species